CCCUUAGAUGUUCGGGGCCGCACGCGCGCUACACUGAAGGAAUCAGCACGUCUUUCUCCUUGUCCGAAAGGACUGGGUAACCCGCUGAACCUCCUUCGUGCUAGGGAUUGGGGCUUGUAAUUCUUCCCCAUGAACGAGGAAUUCCCAGUAAGCGCGAGUCAUAAGCUCGCGUUGAUUACGUCCCUGCCCCUUGUACACACCGCCCGUCGCUACUACCGAUUGGAUGGUUUAGUGAGAUCCUCGGAUUGGUCCCGGAGCGGCCUCUGGUCGUGCCGGAGUGCCGAAAAGAAUGUCGAACUUGAUCAUCUAGAGGAAGUAAAAGUCGUAACA
rnacentral:rRNA from 1 species